rnacentral:rRNA from 1 species
AUGUUCCAAACGAACUGCUCAACAGAGGUUAAUGAGCACGGAGGUUCCAAAGACGAUUUGCUGAUGCUCUUUCCCAAACUCAGCUUGAUCCCGUUCCUCACAUGGUACAUGUGGAUGCCAAGAGGCUGCGACGGUGUUACUCAAUCCCCGUUGAACCGGUAUCCAAGGUGUUCGACGACGACGACAACCUCCUCAUUGAGACCAUCGUCUGCCUCGGAUUCCCCACCACCCUCAUUUGCGCCUCCCUAUUCUGCAAGCGCUGGCUUUGGCAUGCCUCCGACCCCGCUAUCCUCUGUCGCUUCCAGCUCGACGCCGUCAUUCUCCAUGCAAACUUUAGCUUGGACACAUACAAGGGCAUUAGAAUUCACAUUGUGGACUGUUGAAACGGCAACAUCUUCAUCUGCAGCAGGACAUCCUCAUGUAUAG